UACGGGUGGCGCAAGUGUUACUCUUCAUCAUUGGGCGUAAAGGGUGUGUAGGCGGUGUACUAAGUUUAAAGUAAAAUGAUAACAUAUACGUAUUGUGUGGUUUUUUAUACUAUUAUACUAGAGUAUUGUAAAGAUAAUGGAACCUUUAAUAAAGAAUUUAAAUGCAUUGGCAUAUUGAAGGGAACACCGAAGGCGAAGGCAAUUAUCUAAAAAAUACUGACGCUGAGACAACGAAGGCAUAGGUAUCAAACUGG
rnacentral:rRNA from 1 species